rnacentral:rRNA from 1 species
AUUGAACGCUGGCGGCAUGCUUUACACAUGCAAGUCGGACGGCAGCACAGAGAAGCUUGCUUCUUGGGUGGCGAGUGGCGAACGGGUGAGUAAUAUAUCGGAACGUACCGAGUAAUGGGGGAUAACUAAUCGAAAGAUUAGCUAAUACCGCAUAUUCUCUGAGGAGGAAAGCAGGGGACCUUCGGGCCUUGCGUUAUUCGAGCGGCCGAUAUCUGAUUAGCUAGUUGGUGGGGUAAAGGCCUACCAAGGCGACGAUCAGUAGCGGGUCUGAAAGGAUGAUCCGCCACACUGGGACUGAGACACGGCCCAGACUCCUACGGGAGGCAGCAGUGGGGAAUUUUGGACAAUGGGCGCAAGCCUGAUCCAGCCAUGCCGCGUGUCUGAAGAAGGCCUUCGGGUUGUAAAGGACUUUUGUCAGGGAAGAAAAGGCUGUUGCUAAUACCGACAGCUGAUGACGGUACCUGAAGAAUAAGCACCGGCUAACUACGUGC